CAAUACAAACACAUCUGUGAGUUACUUUAAUUUGUGAUUAUACUAUGCGAAUCAAAACAAUAUUCGUUAAUUAUCACGAUUCUUGCAAUGUAUGCAGUACUCUUGUCUCGUGUAAAUUGGAGAAGGUUUUAGAUAGAGCCUUUAUCAAGAUUCAUCUUAAAUUAUUUCGUAUCCUGACUGAGCAGUUUGGACCUGCGAGGAAUAUGUUGGAAUAAUAAGUAGAGUAGUAGCGUAUAUAUAACUGCUCUUACUCCAUAAUGGAACUAACCAACCUCAUAAAAUGAAUAGCCUGGUCUGAAUAUAUAUCGCGUGCGUGUUUUAAGGCAAAAAAGAUUAGAGUAUUGAACAUCACUUAAAAGUCGUACACACAGAGAGAAGAAAUAAUGUAUAAUUUCGAUUCCUGUGAUCCUUUUAAAUUGACGCACUAAAUGAUUAGACAGACUAUAAUUUAGCAAUGUGACAAAUUCAUUUAAUGUUACAGGUGUCACCUUUUACUGACGUAGUUUGAUAAAGAGAUCACCUAAACUUAAACUCCCAGGAGUAAAUAGAUACUCGUAUAAAGCUUCGUUUGUAAUUUCCCACAGAGACAAAACCUCGGGCAAACGCUAAUAAUGCAAAAGUUGUUAUAAACACAAGUGAAUGUGUCCUACAUUUGAGAAAACAACGCUCUAAGCGGUCGGCACAAUAAAUCAGAUAGAUAUUUCCCAUUUCUUGUAGGUGAAGCAAAAAAUUUGAAAGCAUUACCUAAUAUUGAAAGAUCAUCAGAAAAAUAUGUGAUCAUUAUGCUAUUGGUGAUAAACCUGAUGAAAUGAAGGCAAAAUAAGAAAGUAGCGCAAGGCAAUGGCGAAUGGUUAUAGAGGUAAAAACAAGAUAAGGUGAAAAAAAUUAAGUGGGUAUGUAUUUCUUUAUAUUAUGUCAUUCAGAGAUUGAGAAACAUGAACCAUUUUCAACACGAAAAAGGAGAUGAAAAAAAAGGAAUGAAUGACAAGUCUAAUUUUAAAAACUAUAGUAGAAGGAAGAAAUAAUGGAGAGAGAGGAAGACCAAGAAUAAAAUAUUUUGCUCAAAGCAAAAAGUAAACGUUAUAACAUACCAACAAUAUAAAAAAACAAUACGGAGAAAAGACAUCAAUGGAGGACGCUCAAUUUAACUCCACCGAUAAAACAAGCUCUGAAAUUUAAGGAGAAGAUUUAUUUCUUCUUUUUUUAAUGACUUUACAGAGGUGACGUCAUAGACCGUCAUAGACAAAACCUCUUUGGUUUUUUUUAUGAUGGGUUAUAGUAUAAUGAGAUGCAUAUAUCCUAACUAUUAUAUAUAUAUAUAUAAUAUAAUAUAAUAUAUAUAUAUAUAUAUUUAUAUAUUAAUAUUAUAAAUGCGAAAGUAAGUUUGUUUGUUUGUUUGUUUGUUUUCUUUUCACGCGAUAUCUACACAACCAAUCUUCUUGAAAUUUCGCAUAUAUAUAGUUCAGAGUAUAGAGAAGGACAUAGGGUACCUUUCAUUCCGAAAACAACUAUCGUUCCCGUGGGAUUAGUGAAAAACCUGUGCACUCUUACGUAGAUGGCGCUAAUUACGUAGAUGGCGCUAAAUGCGCGGAGUGAAUUUAGAAUCAAUCUUCUUGAAAUUUUGCAUAUAUAUAGUUCAGAGUAUGGAGAAGGACAUAUUAUGCCUUUCGUGCUGGAAAAACCUAUCGUUCCCGUGGGAUUUGUGAAAAUCUGUGCUCUCUUACAUAGAUGGCGCUAAAUGCGCGGAGUGAAUUAUGAAUCGAUGGAGAUACAAGAUGGCAGAAUGAUAGAUUAUGACUUGGAGACGUCUGCUAAGAAAGGAAUUUUAAAAAUUGUUUCACAAUGGUGAAAUUCGUUGCAAGUCAACCAUUUAUCGAGUAAGGCUAUAGGCUAUAAAACAUCACGCUGCAACUAUAAGGAGCGAAGAAAUAAUGGAAAAUGUGAAAAAAAAACGGGGAUAAUUAUUCAUCCUUGAGGGCUUUCGUUGCGUGCGCUGCGAAAACGGUUCAAGAUACCAAAAAUAUAUGUAAGAAAGAAUUAUUCCUCUUGAAAUAAUCUAAAAAAAUGUCUGCGACAGUAUAUGUCCAUCUUUUAAGAUAACUCACUAGAACCGUUUUUAUGGUAAUCAAAUUUGGUCGAAAUUAAUGCAUUAUUUGUUAAGAAAGAAGAAAGAGGCGUGAUUUUAUGUAUGUAUUUGUUAAGAGUUGUAUCAACGUAGUAAUAAUAUUAAUCUUUAUCCAAAUAAAUGUGUUGUUGAUUAAGAGUACUUAAUUGUGAACAAAAUUGUCUUUGACAUCACUUAAUUUCAAUGAACAUCUUAGAAGAUAUAACAAUAUAAAAAUAACACAAAAUUCACCCGCACCGCAUGAUGUGCAAAACAUGACGCUGCAAGGAAGACAGGUGUGGCUUGCGAGGUACCUACCACGCCGCGCGGCUCAGAUAUUUUAUAUUUUACGUUACAGUUAUUCUACUGAAUGCCGCGAGGACUAUAAUUCCUGUGGGAUUUGCGAAAGACCCAUGGUCUUUUGUAGGUGGCGAUAAAAUUGCGCGGGCUAAACGGCUUUUUCUCAAUAGGUGGCGCUUUUUUAAAAUAUGGGUUUCAGGAAUUCUCAUAAUUUUUAAUUACGCGAAAUUACGGCAAAAGCAUGUAGAACAGACAAUAUAUAGGUAUGAGUUCCAGUCUUGGUCACUGACUACGCGAAUUAGUUACAGCGGGAUUUUCACGUGAUGCUACAACCAUGAAUGUAGUUUUAAAAAGGUUCUUCGCAAGGAGGAAUACUGUUUCUGCCUUUCCCUAUUGGAUAAUUGGUAUAUUUGGUAUUUAUGUGGAUAUCAGUGUAUUAUGAUCAGCGUUAUUUUUACCAUGCGUUAUGUUACCCAUCUAUUUAUUUAACUAUCUGAGAUACCAAUAAAAAAUAAUGACCUUAUAAGCAUAGGGAAAUUUAAAUUGCUUAUGUAUUUAACAACAACAGAUGUGGAAAAGAUUUGAUUGGGUGUUUUAUAAUUUUGGAUAAAAAAAACAGUACGUCAAAAAUAAGUUUGUACAAAAAUACAUUUAUGAUAACACUUUGUACAGCAUACAAUGGAGAAUAACCACGACAGACUCUUCCACGCGUACGAAGUCGCGGGCAACAGCUAGUUUAGUAAUAAACAUCUUAAGUGUGAGUUCAUACAUUUAAAAUUUUCUACUACCGUACACAUUUAUAUUUUUUUAUUAUUAAAUUUAUGUCAAUUAAUCUGAACAAUGUAUUCUCUCGUCCACAUUUCUAUUCUAAGUUUAGAAAGUUGUAAUGUUGAAGUUGUUAAAAAAAAAAUACUGCAGUGCAGUUUGUUACCGCUUCUUCUGCACUGACGCUUGGGAAGCGGCAGUAAACUUAGUUUUGAGUAAUUUAUUUGCCGUCAACCAAUGUUGUGAAACCAAAAGAUAUGACAAUUAUUAGGUGAUACGAAGUAUUCUAUAAUAAUGAAUAAAAUUUAAACUAAAUCAUAGCAAUAGUAACACAAACACACGUGGAAAAAAACUUUACUACACCAUCGUGGUACCUACCUUCUACAUCGUAAGAAAUCAAUCGUUUAGAGGCGCCCGAUUGAAAUUCGAGAAGGAUAUCGAGCAGAAUUAUUGAGUACUAUUAUAGUGAGUAGGUUUCAAUUAGUAACGAAGCACGUUAAGGGGAAGCUGUUACUGUCAAGUGUCUCUCAAUUAUUCGGAUUUGUACCUUUAUUUAGAUCGUUCUACCUGUCAGACGGUAUUUGUGGUGCAGCGGUAGUGCGUUUGUCUGUAACUGUGUGGUUCGAAUCCCGGCCAGGGCAUGAUGAGAAAAAAAACUUUUAAUACUUAGCUUGAGUCUUGGAUGUUUAUCUACUCGUUUAUAAGUAUUUAUUAUAAAAUAAAGUAUCGUUGAGUUAGUAUCUCUUAACACAAGUUUCGAACUUACUUCGAGGCUAACUUAAGGUGUGAUAUAUUAUGUACCUAUAUAUUUAUUAUUUAGUUGAAGUAAUACAGAAAAAUAAGGUUUACUAUUUUUCCGGCAGAAACUUUUGUGUUCGUUAAUACAUAAAUCCUAAUGUGAUCAUGCGUGGUUACCUAACAUGGGGUAGGCAGUGUCUAUGGAUUUUUCUCGCUACGAUCAUUGUAGAUGAAACGAAUAGUAAUUAAUUAGAUAGCAAUGCACAGAGAAAAGUACUUUAUUGGAAUUUAUUCCAGCAAGUAAAACUUGCACCGUUAAAAAAAAAAAUCACAGCUGUAAAAUAAAAAUGAAAACCAAUUAAAACUGACGAAUUUGAACGAAUUUUCACCACAGCAAACGAAAUAAACUAGACGUAUUUUUUUGCACAAAUCUAUUAAGUGUAUUUCGAUAUUCCUCCGUGUAUUUCGAUAUUGCGUUAGAUAUUCGAUAUAUUAUAUAAGAUUAUAUUAGAUAUUAUACUCCGUGUAUUUCGAUAUUGCGUCAGUUAUUCCCCUUAAGGAGCCACUAUUGAGUUCUAAAUUCAAAUAUUUGAUCUUGCAGCACAGAAAUGUGGUUUGGCAGUGAAACCUAGUUUGCCAGUGGAUGUAUGACUGAGCGAUCCUUGUCGGAUACCUAGAGAGAAAACCUUAAUCAUUUAUGCUAUAUCGGGAUGAUGUGAAAUACCGUGAUCAUUUAUGCUAUCCCAAUUAAUAAACUUUAUAAUUAUUAAUA